UACGGAGGGGGCUAGCGUUGUUCGGAAUUACUGGGCGUAAAGCGCUCGUAGGCGGACCUGCAAGUCGGGGGUGAAAGCCCGAGGCUCAACCUCGGAACUGCCUUCGAUACUGCGGGUCUCGAGUCCGGGAGAGGUGAGUGGAAUUCCUAGUGUAGAGGUGAAAUUCGUAGAUAUUAGGAAGAACACCAGUGGCGAAGGCGGCUCACUGGCCCGGUACUGACGCUGAGGAGCGAAAGCGUGGGGAGCAAACAGG
rnacentral:rRNA from 1 species